ensembl:lncRNA
CUUACUGUUCCACCAACAGACAGAAAAUCACUCAGAGUUGGGUUACUGAGUUUUUAAACCUGUAGCUUACUUUAAAUAUUUCAUACUUAAAACAAAAAGCCCUAUUUGUUACAUUAGACGGGCGAAUGACAGGAGAUCACCGGCUUCCUCUUGUGGUCAACAUCUGUAUCAUAGCAGGACUGACACUGUUGCGUUCUCAGGAGAGAAGUGCAGGAGAUCCCGGAAAUUAUGGAGCAUCAAAUGUUUGGCGCGGAUAGCGGAGGUAAUGGAAAUAAUGAAAAUAGAAGACAAGUAUCGAAUAUGUGUUUGAAUCUGACAGUGAAAAGGGAAAUCUUCUCGCAAAAAGAAGGAACAUAAGAAUAAGGGAUGUUUGAAGUGUUACUCUCAACAAACAGAAGCAUGUGGACACUGGACAGACAUUGACUGUAAUGAUGGACAUCUGCUGAAGCACAGGCAGAAGUAUAACGCCUGCUGGACAUUGUGCUGGAACUCGGGGAGGACACCAUGAUCCCCCACACCUUCUCACUCACACCAGACCAUUCACUCAUAUCACGGAGAUCUGGCUGGACUUGAACCAGCAACCUCUGAAACUAUGAGGCAGUGCUCUUACCUCUGAGCCACAGAUCUCAUGUCUGAACAUGUGCAGGAACUUAUAUUUCACUAUUCUCCCUGUCAGUUUACAAUAAACCAGUUAAAUUUUUAACCCAUCACACCACUGCAGUCCUGAUUGAUCCUGUGAGGAGAUGCUGGAGUCUGUCCCAGAGUCUCCGACCCAAAGCAGGAAAACACCCAGUCCAUCACAGAGCGAUAAUAAGGGAUGUUUGAAGUGUUACACUCAGCCAACAGAAGCAUGUGGACAGACAUUGACUGUAAUGAUGGACAUCUGCUGAAGCACAGGCAGAAGUAUAACCCCUGCUGGACAUUGUGCUGGAACUCGGGGAGGACACCAUGAUCCCCCACACCUUCUCACUCACACCAGACCAUUCACUCAUAUCACAGAGAUCUGGCUGGACUUGAACCAGCAACCUCUGAAACCAUGAGGCAGCGCUCUUACCUCUGAGCCACAGAUCUCAUGUCUGAACAUGUGGAGGAACUUAUAUUUCACUAUUCUCCCUGUCAGUUUACAAUAAACCAGUUAAAUUGUGUAAGUAAUGUGUGUAAGUAAUGUGUGUUUGCAC